rnacentral:rRNA from 1 species
GAUGAACGCUGGCGGCGUGCCUAAUACAUGCAAGUCGAGCGAACAGAUGAGGAGCUUGCUCCUCUGACGUUAGCGGCGGACGGGUGAGUAACACGUGGAUAACCUACCUAUAAGACUGGGAUAACUUCGGGAAACCGGAGCUAAUACCGGAUAAUAUAUUGAACCGCAUGGUUCAAUAGUGAAAGACGGUUUUGCUGUCAAUUAUAGAUGGAUCCGCGCCGCAUUAGCUAGUUGGUAAGGUAACGGCUUACCAAGGCGACGAUGCGUAGCCGACCUGAGAGGGUGAUCGGCCACACUGGAACUGAGACACGGUCCAGACUCCUACGGGAGGCAGCAGUAGGGAAUCUUCCGCAAUGGGCGAAAGCCUGACGGAGCAACGCCGCGUGAGUGAUGAAGGUCUUCGGAUCGUAAAACUCUGUUAUUAGGGAAGAACAAAUGUGUAAGUAACUAUGCACGUCUUGACGGUACCUAAUCAGAAAGCCACGGCUAACUACGUG